UGCAGCGGGCUCAGGAAGGGG
rnacentral:miRNA from 1 species